rnacentral:rRNA from 1 species
GAUGAACGCUGGCGGCGUGCCUAAUACAUGCAAGUCGAGCGAACAGACGAGGAGCUUGCUCCUUUGACGUUAGCGGCGGACGGGUGAGUAACACGUGGAUAACCUACCUAUAAGACUGGGAUAACUUCGGGAAACCGGAGCUAUUACCGGAUAACAUGUUGAACCGCAUGGUUCAACAGUGAAAGACGGUCUUGCUGUCACUUAUAGAUGGAUCCGCGCCGCAUUAGCUAGUUGGUAAGGUAACGGCUUACCAAGGCAACGAUGCGUAGCCGACCUGAGAGGGUGAUCGGCCACACUGGAACUGAGACACGGUCCAGACUCCUACGGGAGGCAGCAGUAGGGAAUCUUCCGCAAUGGGCGAAAGCCUGACGGAGCAACGCCGCGUGAGUGAAGAAGGUCUUCGGAUCGUAAAACUCUGUUAUUAGGGAAGAACAAAUGUGUAAGUAACUAUGCACGUCUUGACGGUACCUAAUCAGAAAGCCACGGCUAACUACGUG